GUCCGAGUUGUAAUUUGUAGAAGGUAACUUUGGAAUUGGCUCUUGUCUAUGUUCCUUGGAACAGGACGUCACAGAGGGUGAGAAUCCCGUGCGAUGAGGUGCCCAAUUCUAUGUAAAGUGCUUUCGAAGAGUCGAGUUGUUUGGGAAUGCAGCUCUAAGUGGGUGGUAAAUUCCAUCUAAAGCUAAAUAUUGGCGAGAGACCGAUAGCGAACAAGUACAGUGAUGGAAAGAUGAAAAGAACUUUGAAAAGAGAGUGAAAAAGUACGUGAAAUUGUUGAAAGGGAAGGGCUUGAGAUCAGACUUGGUAUUUUGCGUUCCUUCCCCUCGUGGGUUGGUUCCUCGCAGCUUACCGGGCCAGCAUCGGUUUGGAUGGUAGGAUAAUGACAUUGGAAUGUGACACCGCUUCGGUGGUGUGUUAUAGCCUUUGUUGAUACUGCCUGUCUAGACCGAGGACUGCGUCUUUGACUAGGAUGUUGGCAUAAUGAUCUUAAGUCGCCCGUCUUGAAACAC
rnacentral:rRNA from 1 species